CAGUGGCCCACUUGCCUGAGAAGCGACGCUUGGGACCAGCAGCUCAGACGUGAAAUGCUCCCCCUGGGGCCCCGUCAUCAUCAUCGUCAUCAUCAUCAUCAUCAUCAUCAUCAUCAUCAUCAGCGUCAUCCUCGUCAUCGCUGUCAUUUCUGUGCCACUUGUGCUCAGGGCCAUCAGGGACAGAAGGUCAUGUGGAGGACUCGCCUUUCCUGGGAUAUUGCUGCCUGUCCCCACCCUGGCGGGGACAGGGGAGCCGGCAGAGAGGAACAGGCGUCGGGACCUGCAGGCCUCCCGGGUCCAGCCAGACGUCACCACGGAGCCCGUGGAGGAGACAGCAUCCCUGUUCCCUCAGAGGGACCGCCACCUGACACAUGUCGUCUGGAUUCAGGCGCCUGAGCCAUCUCCGCGAGGCUGCGGGCAGCGGCCAGGCCCCCAAAGAGGACAUAUGUGGUCAGAGAAGCCGCGGGCCCCCCUCCUGGAGGCCAGCCCGCACCUGGCUGAGGAGGAGACCACCCCCUGCGCCGGGGGCUUUGUUGUGGGAAGCCAUCCGUUGUCUUCAUUAUCAGAGGAGUGUAACCAAGGAUCCGGGAGCACUGGGGAACCUUGAGCCCUGGCAAGGGCCAGAGCUAUGCACCAAUUGUUUAGUGCAGACAGUGGAGGCUCAAGCAAUUUCCUGACCAAAUAGUCUCAGAGAAAAUCUUUCUAACAUUUCCUGACCUUUAAUACAGUCUGUCUGUUACCGCAAUUACCUGCCUGACUAAGAGCUAGGUUUGUAUUCAAAAUUGAAAAAAAGGUUGGCAAGGCCUGAGCACGAGUGGAAGUCCCUCCCCUUGGAUUGGGCUUCCCGCCUGGCCCCCAAUAAUUUCCAAAUUGUCA